GUGUCAGCAGCCGCGGUAACACGUAGGAGGCAAACGUUAUCCGGAUUUACUGGGCGUAAAGCGCGUGUAGGUGGUUCUGUAAGUAGGGCGUGAAAGCUCCUGGCUCAACUGGGAAAGGCCGUUCUAAACUACAGAACUAGAGGAUGGUAGAGGGAGGUGGAAUUCCAGGUGUAGCGGUGGAAUGCGCAAAUAUCUGGAGGAACACCGGUGGCGAAGGCGGCCUCCUGGACCAUUCCUGACACUCAAACGCGAAAGCUAGGGUAGCAAACGGGAUUAGAGACCCCGGUAGUCCUAGCCCUAAACGAUGUAAACUAGGCGUCGGAAGCUUAAUCGCUUUCGGUGUCCAAGCUAACGCGAUAAGUCUACCGCCUGGGGACUACGGCCGCAAGGUUAAAACUCAAAGGAAUUGACGGGUCCCCGCACAAGCAGCGGAGCGUGUGGUUUAAUUCGUUGCUACACGAAGAACCUUACCUGGGUUUGACAUAGCAGUGGUAGGGAAGCGAAAGCGGACCGACCCUUCGGGGAGCUGUUACAGGUGUUGCAUGGCUGUCGUCAGCUCGUGUCGUGAGAUGUUCGGUUAAGUCCGCUAACGAGCGCAACCCGCGUUGUGUGUUACAAGUGUCACACAAUACCGCCGGUAUUAAGUCGGAGGAAGGUGCGGAUGACGUCAAGUCAGCAUGACCUUUAUAUCCAGGGCUACACACACGCUACAAUGGUCAGCACAAUAGGUUGCCAAGUCGUGAGACGGAGCCAAUCCUCCAAAGCUGGCCUCAGUUCAGAUUGCAGGCUGCAACUCGCCUGCAUGAAGUUGGAGUUGCUAGUAACCGCAGGUCAGCUAUACUGCGGUGAAUACGUUCCCGGGGAUUGUACACACCGCCCGUCAAGUCAUGGGAGCUGGCAACACCUGAAGCCGGUAUCCUAACCCGCAAGGGAGGGAGCUGUCAAAGGUGGGGUCGGUGACUGGGACUAAGUCGUAACAAGGUAACC
rnacentral:rRNA from 1 species